rnacentral:rRNA from 1 species
GAUGAACGCUGGCGGCGUGCCUAAUACAUGCAAGUCGAGCGAACAGACGAGGAGCCUGCUCCUCUGAUGUUAGCGGCGGACGGGUGAGUAACACGUGGAUAACCUACCUAUAAGACUGGGAUAACUUCGGGAAACCGGAGCUAAUACCGGAUAACAUGUUGAACCGCAUGGUUCAACAGUGAAAGACGGUUUUGCUGUCACUUAUAGAUGGAUCCGCGCCGCAUUAGCUAGUUGGUAAGGUAACGGCUUACCAAGGCAACGAUGCGUAGCCGACCUGAGAGGGUGAUCGGCCACACUGGAACUGAGACACGGUCCAGACUCCUACGGGAGGCAGCAGUAGGGAAUCUUCCGCAAUGGGCGAAAGCCUGACGGAGCAACGCCGCGUGAGUGAAGAAGGUCUUCGGAUCGUAAAACUCUGUUAUUAGGGAAGAACAAAUGUGUAAGUAACUAUGCACGUCUUGACGGUACCUAAUCAGAAAGCCACGGCUAACUACGUG